rnacentral:rRNA from 1 species
UACGUAGGGUGCGAGCGUUGUCCGGAAUUACUGGGCGUAAAGAGCUCGUAGGUGGUUUGUCGCGUUGUUCGUGAAAACUCACAGCUCAACUGUGGGCGUGCGGGCGAUACGGGCAGACUGGAGUACUGCAGGGGAGACUGGAAUUCCUGGUGUAGCGGUGGAAUGCGCAGAUAUCAGGAGGAACACCGGUGGCGAAGGCGGGUCUCUGGGCAACAACUGACGCUGAGGAGCGAAAGCGUGGGUAGCAAACGGG